rnacentral:rRNA from 1 species
AUUGAACGCUGGCGGCAGGCUUAACACAUGCAAGUCGGACGGUAACGGGAAGAAAGCUUGCUUUCUUUGCUGACGAGUGGCGGACGGGUGAGUAAUGCUUGGGAAUCUGUUUUAUGGAGGGGGAUAACUACGGGAAACUGUAGCUAAUACCGCGUAAUAUCGAGAGAUUAAAGUGUGGGACCGUAAGGCCACACGCCGUAGAGUGAGCCCAAGUGGGAUUAGGUAGUUGGUGGGGUAAAGGCCUACCAAGCCAUCGAUCUCUAGCUGGUCUGAGAGGAUGACCAGCCACACUGGGACUGAGACACGGCCCAGACUCCUACGGGAGGCAGCAGUGGGGAAUAUUGCACGAUGGGCGCAAGCCUGAUGCAGCCAUGCCGCGUGAAUGAAGAAGGCCUUCGGGUUGUAAAGUUCUUUCGGUGGUGAGGAAGGUUGGCGUGUUAAUAGCACGUUAAUUUGACGUUAGCCACAGAAGAAGCACCGGCUAACUCCGUGCCAGCAGCCGCGGUAAUACGGAGGGUGCGAGCGUUAAUCGGAAUAACUGGGCGUAAAGGGCACGCAGGCGGAUACUUAAGUGAGGUGUGAAAGCCCUGGGCUUAACCUAGGAAUUGCAUUUCAUACUGGGUAUCUAGAGUAUUUUAGGGAGGGGUAGAAUUCCACGUGUAGCGGUGAAAUGCGUAGAGAUGUGGAGGAAUACCGAAGGCGAAGGCAGCCCCUUGGGGGAAUACUGACGCUCAUGUGCGAAAGCGUGGGGAGCAAACAGG